AACGAACGCUGGCGGCAGGCUUAACACAUGCAAGUCGAGCGAAGACUUCGGUCUUAGCGGCGGACGGGUGAGUAACGCGUGGGAAUAUGCCCUUCACUACGGAAUAGCCCAGGGAAACUUGGAUUAAUACCGUAUACGCCCUUUUGGGGAAAGAAUUUCGGUGAGGGAUUAGCCCGCGUUGGAUUAGGUAGUUGGUGGGGUAAUGGCCUACCAAGCCGACGAUCCAUAGCUGGUUUGAGAGGAUGAUCAGCCACACUGGGACUGAGACACGGCCCAGACUCCUACGGGAGGCAGCAGUGGGGAAUCUUAGACAAUGGGGGCAACCCUGAUCUAGCCAUGCCGCGUGAGUGAUGAAGGCCUUAGGGUUGUAAAGCUCUUUCAGCUGGGAAGAUAAUGACGGUACCAGCAGAAGAAGCCCCGGCUAACUCCGUGCCAGCCGCCGCCGUAAUAC
rnacentral:rRNA from 1 species